GACGCAAGUCUGAUGGAGCAACGCCGCGUGAGUGAAGAAGGCUUUCGGGUCGUAAAACUCUGUUGUUGGAGAAGAAUGGUCGGCAGAGUAACUGUUGUCGGCGUGACGGUAUCCAACCAGAAAGCCACGGCUAACUACGUGCCAGCAGCCGCGGUAAUACGUAGGUGGCAAGCGUUAUCCGGAUUUAUUGGGCGUAAAGCGAGCGCAGGCGGUUUUUUAAGUCUGAUGUGAAAGCCCUCGGCUUAACCGAGGAAGUGCAUCGGAAACUGGGAAACUUGAGUGCAGAAGAGGACAGUGGAACUCCAUGUGUAGCGGUGAAAUGCGUAGAUAUAUGGAAGAACACCAGUGGCGAAGGCGGCUGUCUGGUCUGUAACUGACGCUGAGGCUCGAAAGCAUGGGUAGCGAACAGGAUUAGAUACCCUGGUAGUCCAUGCCGUAAACGAUGAAUGCUAGGUGUUGGAGGGUUUCCGCCCUUCAGUGCCGCAGCUAACGCAUUAAGCAUUCCGCCUGGGGAGUACGACCGCAAGGUUGAAACUCAAAGGAAUUGACGGGGGCCCGCACAAGCGGUGGAGCAUGUGGUUUAAUUCGAAGCAACGCGAAGAACCUACCAGGUCUUGACAUCUUU
rnacentral:rRNA from 2 species